GACGAACCGUGCGAACGUUAUUCGGAAUCACUGGGCUUAAAGCGCGUGUAGGCGGAUGGGAACGUCGGUAGUUGAAAGCCCCGGCUCAACCGGGGAAGUGGUGCCGAAACGACCCGUCUGGAGGGACGUAGGGGGACCUGGAACUUCCGGUGGAGCGGUGAAAUGCGUUGAGAUCGGAAGGAACGCCCGUGGCGAAGCGAGAUCCUGGACGUCUACUG
rnacentral:rRNA from 1 species